rnacentral:rRNA from 1 species
CCCUUAGAUGUUCUGGGCUGCACGCGCGCUACACUGAAGCUAUCAACACGUUUUCCCUCCCUGAGAAGGGCGGGUAACCUUUUGAAUCAGCUUAGUGGUAGGGAUCGGGGCUUGCAAUUGUUCCCCGUGAACCAGGAAUUCCUAGUAGACGCGAGUCAUAAGCUCGCAUCGAUUAAGUCCCUGCCCUUUGUACACACCGCCCGUCGCUACUACCGAUUGAACGUUUUAGUGAGGCAUUUGGACCGACGCAUCUCAGUUUAACCGCUGGUUUGUGUUGGAAAGACUUCCAAACUUGAGCGUUUAGAGGAAGUAAAAGUCGUAACA